rnacentral:rRNA from 1 species
GACGAACGCUGGCGGCGUGCCUAAUACAUGCAAGUAGAACGCUGACUACUUUAGCUUGCUAGAGUAGAAGGAGUUGCGAACGGGUGAGUAACGCGUAGGUAACCUGCCUACUAGCGGGGGAUAACUAUUGGAAACGAUAGCUAAUACCGCAUAACAGUGUUUAACACAUGUUAGAUGCUUGAAAGAUGGAAUUGCAUCACUAGUAGAUGGACGUGCGUUAGAUUAGCUAGUUGGUGGGGUAACGGCACACCAAGGCGACGAUACAUAGCCGACCUGGGAGGGUGAUCGGCCACACUGGGACUGAGACACGGCCCAGACUCCUACGGGAGGCAGCAGUAGGGAAUCUUCGGCAAUGGGGGCAACCCUGACCGAGCAACGCCGCGUGAGUGAAGAAGGUUUUCGGAUCGUAAAGCUCUGUUGUAAGAGAAGAACGUGUGUGAGAGUGGAAAGUUCACACAGUGACGGUAACUUACCAGAAAGGGACGGCUAACUACGUGCCAGCAGCCGCCGUAA